CAGCGACACUACCCCAGCAGCACCGGGCUUGGAGGAUCUAUUCUACCUCCACGGUGUGGACGUGGAGCUGUGGGCGCAUGAGCACACCUACGAGAGACUCUGGCCGGUCUACGGGGACAAGGUGUUCAACGGUAGCGUCGCAGAGCCCUACACCAACCCCAAGGCCCC